CCUGGAAACGGUUACACCAAACGGCACACACAUCAGCCAACGGUGGAGGGGAGGGGGGAGGAAAUUCCAAAAAUGAUCCAUUUAGGCUGCAUUUUCGUAAGCGUGCUCACGUGCGCCAAGGGGGCAGGAAGAAUGCCAAUAUGAGAGUCUCAACGUCUUCUCAAUCCAUGUGGUUGCCAAGCGUGGACACCAACUUGACCGCACAUAAUCAAUCCAGCUUCUUCAAGGAAACGUUGAGCAUCUUGAUCUUAGUGUACCGAUGAUGUUACCUAGAUUGGGUAAUGAAACAUCUGCAAGAAAACAGCCAAGCUCAGAGUGCACCAAGGACUCCAUAAUUCAACCCCGAGCUACAAUUAUUCCCUUCUUAUCAGUGAGCUUAGUGCAUUAUUCAAACUGAAGAUUCUUCUACCCCAAGAAUUGAUACCUAGGAGCACAAGCCGAGAUUACAUUCAUUCGAGUAGAGUGCAACCAAAAAACCAUGCAAGUAAACCAAGGUUACUCAAUUCUUCGGUAAAUUCUGUAUGUAAAUUUGUUCCUAAACCCUUUUUCGCUUAGAUUUCCCAAUCUAGCCCCCACUGUCCACUAUGACUGGAAAUAUCAUACGUGGAUCUUGGGUGUGUCCAAACGAAACAGAGAGGUUUUUAAAUCAGCAGAACUCAAACCGCCAUCCUGUGACUUUCCCUGCAAGGCUUGGGGUGGGGGUGGGGGUGAUUGGGAAGGGUGACUGACUCAUUCCCAGAGGAACCUUCGGUAGAAAACGCAACGUCAGGGAACUUUCUGUCCGAACGUGACACAUCUUUUUAAGUGGCUCAAUCUCAUCGGCUACACUCCGUUGGCAAGCGCAGGAUUUGGGCACAAAAUGUUUUAAAACCACCUGACCUUAAGUGCGGGCACAUUUUUUUUCCCCCUCACGGGAGAAAAUGAGAUUUAACUUGAGCAGCCCACUGGAGAGUGACGUGCUUUGAGAUGUUAAUGAACCGUAGAGCCGAACCGAUCUUCUGCACAACUGGAUCGCAUCCUGGCAUUGUCCUCCCUCAAUUUUCUCUUGGGGGGAGGGGGGAUCUGCUCCUCCCCCACUUUAGCCACACAUGAUUUCCGCAGUUAGAAGCUGCCACUCAAAUAAACCCAUCAGUCAUAACUUCCAGGCAGCUGGGCCAGAAAUAAAAGGAGGAUGU